rnacentral:rRNA from 1 species
UAAGACAUAGGUGGCGAACGUUAUCCGGAAUUAUUGGGCGUAAAGGAUGCGUAGAUGGUGUGAUAAGUUAUCAGUGGGAAAUCGGGGCUCAACCUCGUGGAAGUUGGUAAUACUGUCACACUUGAGUACAGGAGAGGUUAACGGAACUCCAUGUGGAGCGGUAAAAUGUGACGAUAUAUGGAAGAACACCAAUAGGCGAAGGCAGUUAACUAUUCUGUUACUGACAUUGAGGCAUGAAAGCGUGGGGAGCAAAACGGAUUAGAUACCCGUGUAGUCCACGCCCUAAACGAUGAGUGCUAGAUAUUGGGAACUAGAUUCUCAGUGUCGCUAGUUAACACGGUAAGCACUCCGCCUGGGUAGUACGCUCGCAAGAGUG